GAAAUCGAACAAAAAUAAGAGCGGCACUUUGUGAAAAACUGAAAAUAAGAGCGGCACUUCGUGAAAAUAGGAGCGGGUUAGGGUUCUCUCAUCUCAAAGGGGGGCAACAAAGUCUCUCUGUCUCUGACUCUCUCUCUCUCUCUCUCUCUCUCUCAGGUUUUGGGUUUUUGUUAGCUUCUCGAUGGAUUUCUUGGUUUUCUCUUCUCUCAGAUGAGGUAGCUUGGCAUGAAAGAAGAAGAGUAUGGGUUGGUGAUAUAUCACAAAGAUCAUAGAGUUUAAAAAGCAUAAGUAGAAGAGAGAAGAUCCUGAGGUUAGAGACUUCAGGUAGAUGCACGCGAGUUAUCACAGAUUCUAUAUCUGAUAAGCGGGAUCCUGAUGGAUUCACUUGGAAGGCAGUGUCCAAGGAGGAGAAAGCAGAUGGAAUAGAUGAAGAGCCAACUUGCUACGGUGCUUAAUAAUCGGAAUGGAAGUUAAAUAUUAGUGUAAAAGACUAGCUGCCUUUUAUUUAUGUAUUAAGUUUGUAUGACCUGUGAAUUAUAACUUGGAUGCUACUUUUGCUUGUAAAUCUAUGUCAUUUUUCUUUAUUUAA